AAAGUUGUUUUAUUAAAACAAGAGUUAAAACACCAAAACACACACUUAAAGUGUGUGUUCUGGUCGUGACAAUCACAGGAGCCAAGGGAGGGUUCCUUACUCAAACCCUAACUUGCCUAAAUCCAAGAAAUUGAGAGGCCAAAUCAGUCCCAAAUCGAAAUCCAAGCUCGUAUUCAUGAACACCAAGUUGAAAGGAUCACAAGGUGGAAGCUUGGAGUGAAAGCGGGUCAAACAAGUCAAGCAUGGAAGAAAAGCGUAGCUCGGAUGCAAGGUAAUUUGUGGAAGCCGGAAGUCGAUCAAGCUCAACGAAGAACCGAACACGAUACAGUUACAUGCUUCCGCACUUCGCCACGUUGUAAAUUUUAAACAACGAACUUCGAUCACGUUAUGUAG